rnacentral:tRNA from 1 species
UCUCAGGUGGCUCAGCGGUAAAGGAUCUGCUUGUCAAACAGGGGAUGCCGGUUCGAUUCCUGGUCUGAGAA